AACGCACGAGACCUGCGGACCUGCGGAGGGAUCAUUAAUGAGAAACUGCCCCUCGCGGGUAGAUCUCCCACCCUUUGUAAACUUACCUUUGUUGCUUUGGCAGGCCCGUCUCCGGACCGCCGGCUACGGCUGGCCAGUGCCUGCCAGAGGAUUCUAAAACUCUGUCUGUCAGUGUUGUCUGAGUCUAUAUACAAUCGUUAAAACUUUCAACAACGGAUCUCUAGAUCGGAAGAGCACACG
rnacentral:misc_RNA from 1 species